UACGGAGGGUGCGAGCGUUGUUCGGAAUUACUGGGCGGAAAGGGCGCGUAGGCGGCCUUCUAAGUCAGACGUGAAAUCCCCCGGCUUAACCUGGGAACUGCGUCUGAUACUGGGAGGCUUGAGUAUGGGAGAGGGAUGUAGAAUUCCAGGUGUAGCGGUGAAAUGCGUAGAUAUCUGGAGGAAUACCGGUGGCGAAGGCGGCAUCCUGGACCAUAACUGACGCUGAGGCGCGAAAGCUAGGGGAGCAAACGGG
rnacentral:rRNA from 1 species